rnacentral:rRNA from 1 species
UACAGAGGUCUCAAGCGUUGUUCGGAUUCAUUGGGCGUAAAGGGUGCGUAGGCGGCGCGGUAAGUCGGAUGUGAAAUCUCGGAGCUUAACUUCGAAACUGCAUUCGAUACUGCCGUGCUUGAGGACUGGAGAGGAGACUGGAAUUUACGGUGUAGCGGUGAAAUGCGUAGAUAUCGUAAGGAAGACCAGUGGCGAAGGCGGGUCUCUGGACAGGUUCCUGACGCUGAGGCACGAAGGUCAGGGGA